CGAAAGCCUGACGGAGCAAUACCGCGUGAGGGAUGACGGCCUAUGGGUUGUAAACCUCUUUUUUCAGGGAGGAAUAAAUGACGUGUACCUGAAGAAUAAGCAUCGGCUAACUCCGUGCCAGCAGCCGCGGUAAGACGGAGGAUGCAAGUGUUAUCCGGAAUCACUGGGCGUAAAGCGUCUGUAGGUGGUUUAAUAAGUCAACUGUUAAAUCUUGAGGCCCAACCUCAAAACCGCAGUCGAAACUAUUAGACUAGAGUAUAGUAGGGGUAAGGGAAUUUCCAGUGGAGCGGUGAAAUGCGUAGAGAUUGGAAAGAACACCGAUGGCGAAGGCACUUUACUGGGCUAUUACUAACACUCAGA
rnacentral:rRNA from 1 species